UACGUAGGGGGCAAGCGUUGUCCGGAAUUACUGGGCGUAAAGAGCGCGCAGGCGGCUGGUCAAGUCCGAUGUGAAAGCUCCCGGCUUAACUGGGAAAUUGCAUCGGAAACUGAUCGGCUUGAAGGUGGGAGAGGGUAGUGGAAUUCCCGGUGUAGUGGUGAAAUGCGUAGAUAUCGGGAGGAACACCAGUGGCGAAGGCGACUAUCUGGCCCACUCUUGACGCUGAGGCGCGAAAGCUAGGGGAGCGAACGGG
rnacentral:rRNA from 1 species